CUAGCAAAUGAUGUCAAGCAAGACAGGGACUCUGCAGCGCUCCCGAUUUUAAACGGGGGCGUGAAUGAUGCAUCCGUCUAGGGGAAUCUCUAAUGCUAU
rfam:Brachypodium distachyon strain Bd21 chromosome 1, whole genome shotgun sequence.